rnacentral:rRNA from 1 species
UACGCAGGGUGCAAGCGUUAAUCGGAAUUACUGGGCGUAAAGCGUGCGCAGGCGGUUAUGUAAGACAGAUGUGAAAUCCCCGGGCUCAACCUGGGAACUGCAUUUGUGACUGCAUAGCUAGAGUACGGUAGAGGGGGAUGGAAUUCCGCGUGUAGCAGUGAAAUGCGUAGAUAUGCGGAGGAACACCGAUGGCGAAGGCAAUCCCCUGGACCUGUACUGACGCUCAUGCACGAAAGCGUGGGGAGCAAACAGG